rnacentral:rRNA from 1 species
CCUACGGGUGGCAGCAGUGAGGAAUAUUGGUCAAUGGCCGGAAGGCUGAACCAGCCAUGCCGCGUGAAGGUCAGUGCCCUAUGGGCGUUAAAGUUCUUUUGUCCGGGAACAAUAAUGGUCACGUAUGGCCAGACGAGAGUACGGUAAGAAUAAGCAUCGGCUCACUGCGUGCCAGCAGCGGCGGUAAUACGGGGGAUGCAAGCGUUAUCCGGAUUUAUUGGGUUUAAAGGGUGCGUAGGCUGUGAGGUAAGUCAGCGGUGAAAUGCCCACGCUCAACGGGGUGAAGUGCCAUUGAUACUGCCUGGCUGGAAUGCGGAUGACGUGGGAGGAAUGUGUGGUGUAGCGGUGAAAUGCGUAGAUAUCACACGGAACACCAGUUGCGAAGGCAGCUCACGAAUCCGCGAUUGACGCUGAUGCACGAAAGCGUGGGUAUCAAACAGGAUUAGAUACCCGAGUAGUC